rnacentral:rRNA from 1 species
UACGAAGGGGGCUAGCGUUGUUCGGAAUUACUGGGCGUAAAGCGCGUGUAGGCGGGUCUUUAAGUCAGGGGUGAAAUGCCAAGGCUCAACCUUGGAACUGCCUUUGAUACUGUAAAUCUUGAGUCCGGGAGAGGUGAGUGGAACUGCGAGUGUAGAGGUGAAAUUCGUAGAUAUUCGCAAGAACACCAGUGGCGAAGGCGGCUCACUGGCCCGGAACUGACGCUGAGACGCGAAAGCGUGGGGAGCAAACAGG